AGAGUUUGAUCCUGGCUCAGAUUGAACGCUGGCGACGUGCUUAACGCAUGCAAGUCGUGCGAGAAAGUAGGCUUCGGUCUAUGAGUAGAGCGGCGCACGGGUGAGUAACGCGUGGAUGAUCUACCCUUGAGUUCGGGAUAACGGUGCGAAAGCGCCGCUAAUACCGUAUAACAAUCCAUUUCAUCGUGGGUUCAAAGCAGGCCUCUUCGUGAAAGCUUGCGCUUGGGGAUGAGUCCGCGUCCCAUUAGCUUGUUGGCGGGGUAACGGCCCACCAAGGCUACGAUGGGUAGCUGGUCUGAGAGGAUGAUCAGCCACACUGGAACUGAAACACGGUCCA
rnacentral:rRNA from 1 species